GGACUUCUUCUUGUAUUACUAAAUGCAUAUAUCAUGCCUGGCACAAUCAGAGCUAAUGUGGUUUGGCUUCCAGCUUUUCAAGAAUUGACUUUAUGGAAUGUUCCUGCAGUUCUGACACAG